rnacentral:sRNA from 11 species
AUGUACCCCUCGUACAUUCCGGUUCUGAGCGCGCCGUCCGCGCCCACCUGACAGCUGCUCGCUACGUUUUGUUAGCC